rnacentral:rRNA from 1 species
GAUGAACGCUAGCGAUAGGCUUAACACAUGCAAGUCGAGGGGCGGCGAGGGUAGCAAUACCUGUCGGCGACCGGCGCACGGGUGAGUAACGCGUAUGUAACCUGCCCGCAACAGGGGGAUAACCCGGCGAAAGUCGGACUAAUACCGCAUAAAACAGGGGUCCCGCAUGGGAAUAUUUGUUAAAGAUUUAUCGGUUGCGGAUGGGCAUGCGUACCAUUAGGUAGUUGGUGAGGUAACGGCUCACCAAGCCUUCGAUGGUUAGGGGUUCUGAGAGGAAGGUCCCCCACACUGGUACUGAGACACGGACCAGACUCCUACGGGAGGCAGCAGUGAGGAGUAUUGGUCAAUGGGCGAGAGCCUGAACCAGCCAAGUCGCGUGAAGGAUGACUGCCCUAUGGGUUGUAAACUUCUUUUACAAGGGAAUAAAAUGAGAUACGUGUAUUUUAUUGCAUGUACCUUGGGAAUAAGCAUCGGCUAACUCCGUG